GGAUAGGAACGCCAUCUCCUUCCAAGUUUCUAACCCUUCUCCUUUUCCAAUUUCUCUUCACCAGAAGGGUGAGGGUUUCACCCUUCAAAAGCCUCUCUUUAACUCCAUCCGAUCCAAAAUCAUCUUUAUCUUUCUACCUUUUUCGGAUCUCUUUCCUGAUUUCAUCCCAAAUCGCGUUUUCUUGUCCGAAAUUCGGACAUCGAUCCUUUUCAGCGCUUCUCGCUCUUCAGAUCGGUUUCACUUAUUGUCUUAGCGAUGUUGCUAAUGAGCAGAAAUAAAAGUGCCACAAGAUUCAGAAGUCCUAUGAGAAUUAUGGAGUGUUAUGGGAAGGCGUUCCAUUUUCAUGUGAUUGGUAAUGAGAAUUUGCUCUUAUAGACGCUUACAUGUGAUGUAUAAAUUAUAAGGUGGCUUUCUUUCAGUUGAAAACCUUAUCUUCAAUGAGACUCAGAUUUUCUUAUAUCUAGCUACAUGGAAAGAUGGUAUGAGUAGAAGCUUUUGGAUCACUGAAUAAGUGGAGCUAGUUAUUUUGGUGGACCCAUGGCAGACCAUUCUUUACUUGUUGCAGACCAUUCUUUAGUUCCUGGAGACCAUUCCUUAGUAGUGGAUCAUUCCUUAGUUAUUGGACAAGAGUUUCCUGAUGUUGAAACUUGCCGAAGAACACUAAAAGACAUUGCAAUAGCUUUACACUUCGACCUUCGGAUAGUGAAGUCGGACCGUAGUCGAUUUAUAGCCAAGUGCUCAAAGGAAGGAUGCCCCUGGCGUGUCCACGUGGCAAAGUGUCCAGGUGUUUCAACCUUUUCAAUUAGGACGUUGCAUGGCGAUCAUACUUGUGAAGGAGUUCGCAACCUUCAUCAUCAACAAGCUUCAGUUGGUUGGGUUGCCCGAUCUGUAGAGGCCCGUCUUCGAGAUAAUCCUCAAUACAAACCAAAGGACAUAUUGCAUGACAUCCGUGAACAACAUGGAGUUGCAGUGUCUUACAUGCAAGCUUGGCGUGGAAAAGAACGCAGUAUGGCGGCGGUUCAUGGCACUUUUGAGGAAGGAUAUCGCCUUCUUCCUGCAUACUGCGAGCAAGUCAGGAAAACAAACCCUGGAAGUAUUGCAUCGGUUUCUGCCACAGGGCAAGAGAACUGCUUCCAACGUCUCUUUAUUUCCUACUAUGCAUCAAUUUAUGGCUUUCUAAACGCCUGUCGACCACUUUUGGAACUGGAUAGAGCACAUCUAAAAGGAAAAUACCUUGGGACACUGCUUUGUGCGGCAGCUAUUGAUGCCGAUCAUGAACUAUUUCCGUUGGCAUUUGCCAUUGUUGAUGGGGAAAGCGAUGAGAGUUGGAUGUGGUUUCUGUCGGAGCUGCGGAAACUUCUUGGUGUAAAUACUGAUAGCAUGCCUAGACUUACGAUAAUGUCUGACAGACAAAGGGGCAUUGUGGAAGCAGUUGAAACACACUUUCCAAGUGCUUUUCAUGGAUUUUGUCUGCGUCAUGUAAGCGAAAACUUCCGUGAUGAGUUCAAGAACACAAAACUGGUAAACAUAUUUUGGAAUGCUGUUUAUGCACUGACCGCUGUUGAGUUUGAAGCUAAGAUAGCUGAGAUGGUAGAAAUCUCACAUGAUGUUGUGCAAUGGUUUCAUCGCUUUCCACCUCGGCUUUGGGCCAUAGCAUACUUUGAGGGUGUACGAUAUGGCCACUUUGCUUUGCGUGUCACCGAAUUACUUUAUAACUGGGCCCUUGAAGGCCAUGAACUUCCAAUAGUGCAGAUGAUGGAGCACAUUCGGACUCAAUUGGUAUCUUGGUUUAGUGAGCGGCGUAAUACGGGUAUCGCAUGGACAUCUAUUCUUGUACCAUCUGCUGAGAAAGUUGUUUUAGAAGCUAUUGCAGAUUCUCGUUGUUAUCAAGUGCUUCGUGCAAAUGAGGUGGAAUUUGAAAUCGUAUCAACAGAGAGAACAAAUAUUGUGGAUAUAAGUAGCCGUCAUUGCUCAUGUCGACGUUGGCAACUUUAUGGUUUACCAUGCGCACAUGCUGCUGCUGCACUUCUCUCUUGUGGGCAAAAUGCCCACUUGUUUGCAGAGCAUUGUUUUACAGUUGCAAGCUAUCGCCAAACCUAUUCGCAAAUAAUCCACCCGAUUCCAGAUAAAAGCAUCUGGAAGGAGCUAGCUGGGGGAACAGAAGGUGGAGGUGCCAAAGUCGAUAUCAUAAUACGUCCACCCAAGACCCGUCGACCGCCGGGCCGCCCCAAAAAGAAGGUUGUUCGCAUAGAGAACUUCAAGCGCCCAAAGCGGGUUGUUCAAUGUGGCCGUUGCCAUUUGUUAGGACAUUCUCAGAAGAAAUGCACGCUCCAACUUCAGUGAGAACCUGUGGUUGUUUCGAUCAGUUUUCAAUUGCACAGAGCUAGUUAUGAGUUUGUAAUUUUCAGUAUAAGCUUCAUCAAUUGAUUGAAAUCAAAGGACUCUGUACUUUCCAAAAGUCCAGCUGUUUGUACUUAUAAUGAAGAUUCAGUUUUGCAAUGCUUAAAAGGGAUGGCCCACUGUGUGAUUGUGGUUUUGCCAAUGCUCAUCUUCACAAUGGGGGUUGCCUUAUGCCCCCUUAAGAUGCCCCAUGCAGUUGCCAGAUUGGCAUGCCUGCUACGUGUAAAGACAGGACUUUUGUUAUGAUUUGUAUUGUUGGAACAUUUGACAGUAAACAUAGCUUCAGAUGUGAAUAUGAUUCGUUCUUUGAAGGGACUUGAAGAUGUCUUUCCUGAAUCCUGAUUAUUGUGAGAGUGCAAAGAGGGGGAAGGAAGCAGAAGCUACCUGUUGGCUUGAUCUGAAUAUGAUUUCGCAUUCGUGUUCGGUCUUAAGUAUUCCUUGCUUGAGGUGUGGCCAUUCAUGUUCUUGAAGUUUCUUCCCUAUGAUGUGGAUCCUGUGAAUAGAGAAAUUUGAAGCAGUUCACGUGAAGAGGAUUAAAGGCAAUCUCUAUUGCACAUGUAGCAACCCCAUGAGUGGACCAGUCUGAUCUAUGAGCCAGGGCAUGUUGAAUGUUGGUCCCGGCUGAUGAAUGGCCCGGGUAAUAAACGAUGCCAUGUUUUCUCAAUGUGAAUCUCCUCAGCAGCGUGCUUGAGAAUCGCUGAUCUACUUUCAAGGUCUGAAGUCCAGCUCCCCAAUCAAUUAAGCUCUCAGCAGAAGCAGGAGAUAAUGUGUAUUGCAGAGUCCUGUGUAUUGCAGAGGCCCAAAAGCUAGAAUCAGAGGUGGAGUUAAGAAGAUCGUCGUGCCAGUGAGCUACACAGAGUAAGAAUGAGCCUUGAAGAUAUCUACCUGUGAGAAGUAUGCUUUCAUUUGCUGCUCGCUCAAUCCUUUUAAAUUUUCAGGUGAAUUCUGGGCAGUGGAUGGUCUAUGGAGUUUGUCAUACUUCCUUUAGGGCAUGUUUGGAUCACAUCAAAUCACAGUAAUGUAGUGUAAUGGGUAGUAAAAAGUUAGUAUUUUCCAUGCGAACAGAGGAGGUGGUCCCAGAUCUCCCAGAUCUAUUAGUAGAAUCCAGCUCACUGAAGCUGAUCAGAUGUCCGUCACCCAUAUCUAGCAAAUAAGAUGCUGCCAGGUGUCAAGUAUUGUAUGUUUUCAUUCAUUUUAGUUUUUUUUCCCUUUCAAAAUUAGCGGAAACUGCGAUUUGACCUUUUCUUUGGUAUUUAGUUAUUUAUUUUUUGUAUUUUGGAGCAGAAAUGAAUCAGUAAAUGUCAUUAUAAUAUCUUGAUA